rnacentral:rRNA from 1 species
GACGAACGCUGGCGGCGUGCUUAACACAUGCAAGUCGAACGGAAAGGCCCUGCUUUUGUGGGGUGCUCGAGUGGCGAACGGGUGAGUAACACGUGUGUAACCUGCCCUUGACUUUGGGAUAACUUCAGGAAACUGGGGCUAAUAUCGGACAGGAGCUCCUGCUGCAUGGUGGGGGUUGGAAAGUUUCGGCGGUUGGGGAUGGACUCGCGGCUUAUCAGCUUGUUGGUGGGGUAGUGGCUUACCAAGGCUUUGACGGGUAGCCGGCCUGGGAGGGUGACCGGCCACAUUGGGACUGAGAUACGGCCCAGAGUCCAACGGGAGGCAGCAGUGGAAAAUAUUGCACAAUGGGCGGAAGCCUGAUGCAACAACGCCGCGUGCGGGAUGACGGCCUUCGGGUUGUAAACCGCUUUCGCCUGUGACGAAGCGUGAGUGACGGUAAUGGAUAAAGAAGCACCGGCUAACUACGUG